AUUGAACGCUGGCGGCAUGCCUUACACAUGCAAGUCGAACGGCAGCGGACCUUCGGGUGCCGGCGAGUGGCGAACGGGUGAGUAAUAUAUCGGAACGUACCUUUCAGUGGGGGAUAACGUAGCGAAAGUUACGCUAAUACCGCAUAUUCUGUGAGCAGGAAAGCAGGGGAUCGCAAGACCUUGCGCUGAUUGAGCGGCCGAUAUCAGAUUAGCUAGUUGGUGAGGUAAAGGCUCACCAAGGCGACGAUCUGUAGCGGGUCUGAGAGGAUGAUCCGCCACACUGGAACUGAGACACGGUCCAGACUCCUACGGGAGGCUGCAGUCGAGAAUUUUCCUCAAUGGGCGAAAGCCUGACGCAGCCACGCCGCGUGUGCGAUGAAGGCCUCGGGUCGUAAAGCUCUGUGGAGAGGGACGAAAACCCUGGUUCAAUAGGCUCCAGGCUUGACGGUACCUCUUUAGCAAGCACCGGCUAACU
rnacentral:rRNA from 1 species